rnacentral:rRNA from 1 species
UUAACCUGGGUACUAUUGAUGAACCAGGUCACGCAGAUAACACCGCCACUCUCAAACUGAAAAAGACAGCACCGUUCUCUGCUCUGUUGUCUGUUAAUG